AGGUUGAAAAUUGAAACUAACAUUUGCAGCGACAUAACAUCUUACCGACGGUGCAUCCAAAGACUGAUUAAUUUCAAAAUCGUCAAGCUGUAGUCUAAAGCUGCGGCCAAUAGGGAAUGGAAUACGAGACACCAGGCCACACAUCCAGCAAUCCAAGGCCGAUCCUCAGCACUGGACUGACGGUAGUCAUGAGUAUCAUUCGUAAACAAUAUCGAGAUUGUGGUGAAAUAAAGAUCAGCGUUGGCACAUGUAACCGGCACUCUGGUUUGAGAAAGAACUAAAAGAGCGUCAACAGUUUCAUCAAAUGUAACCCCACGCAGUGCAUCCCCACUCGACAAAUUUGUAUAUUGCAGUCUUCUUUGUGUCAAUACAUAGCAUUCAAAACGGAUAUGUAUGAUGCUGAUGCCUUUAUAAUCUAAAAAGGUACAAGGAAUUAAAUUAAAUUUACAAGUUAUAUUUAUCCAUAAAAGCAUGCGGCAAAUCCAAAAUUAAAUAGGUAUAAAGCAAACUUGUCUGUUAAUAAGUAAGUACUCAAAAGAUUUAAAAGAUUACACUUGUAAAAGUUUCGAAUGACAUAUCCAUCAUUUUGCCUGCCGUAAUCGUCAAUCGCUUCUGACAUCUCAUUAUUAUGAAUAUUAUAAUUUUACUUUGACUUGACAGCAUGUCAUACCACAUCAUUUCGUAUAUAGCAUUAGCAAUUAAUUUACCCUAAAAAAAAUACAUAGUGUCAAAUGCAGCGGCUUCAUUAAAGUUUAUUCUUACUUUUCAAUUUUAUUUCACAAAGGUAAAGUUUCUGUCAAACAUUAUUCAAAAUAUUAAGUAUGUCAACAUUGGAAAGACAU